rnacentral:lncRNA from 1 species
GGGAAUGAAACGUGAAAUAUAUACGGAAAUUAUCGAUAAUAUGGGGAUUUCGUGUAGAAAGAGUGAAGAGUAUGAAAAAUAAUAUUUUCAAAUUGUAUUUAUUAAAUAAUGAUGCAUAAUAAACAUUGCAAAAUUAAAUGCACAAUGAUGUAAAAUGAAACUGUACAGUCCCUGUAAAAGAAAAACAUGAUAGAAAUUAAUACUAUAAUAAAAUUUAAAUGAAAAUUUAAAGAAUAACAUUUUAAUAAUUUAAAAGUAUACCCAUAUGAUAUUUUAAAAUAAUCUUUUAGUAAAAUGUAAAACAGAAACUGAAAUUUUAUAAUAUAUAAAACUACUAAAAUUAAAGCUUGAGUUUAUAAAAAUUAAAGAAACAAGUAAUAAAUCAAUUUAAACCAAUUAUAAAAGAUUCAUGUAACUAGUUAAGAUUUCGAACAAAUUUUACAUAUCCAAUAUGAUUGUUUUGGCACAGAUUUUAACCCUGCACAUUUCAAAUGUUGCCAGUCUAAACAGCAAUCACAUGCCAACAAGUCCUGAUCGUGUAGGUUUUUUUUUUACACUUUAUACAUAUCCAGUCGCAUGUUUCCCUUCUUUCCGUGAUCUUAACUUUUAGUUGUUUCCAAGCUUCAGUGGUAGAAUAUUUUUUAAUGCGCUGGAGGUUUACGUUUUCAUACGCCUAUAUAUAUAUGUGUAUAUUUAUAAAAAUUCUGAGUAGUUUUAAUCAAUUUAUUCACUAAUUGCAACAAAUUCCGUAUAUAUUUCACGUUUCAUUCCCGAUCCGACGGCAUUUUAUUAUAAAGCCGGAUGUGGGUACGUGCAGCCUAGAAAGGCAAUUUGACUAUUCGUACCCACAUGCGGGUACGCGCAGACACUGCCU